AUUGAACGCUGGCGGCAGGCUUAACACAUGCAAGUCGAACGAGUGGCGGACGGGUGAGUAAUGGUUGGGAAUCUAGCUUACGGAGGGGGAUAACUACGGGAAACUGUAGCUACUACCGCGUACCAUAGGAUGAGCUCAAGUGGGAUUAGGUAGUUGGUGGGGUAAAGGCUCACCAAGCCGACGAUGUCGAGCUGGUCUGAGAGGAUGACCGGCCACACUGGGACUGAGACACGGCCCAGACUCCUACGGGAGGCAGCAGUGGGGAAUAUUGCGCAAUGGGGGCAACCUGACGCAGCAAUGCCGCGUGAAUGAAGAAGGCCUUCGGGUUGUAAAGUUCUUUCGGUAGCGAGGCGUUAUCUACAGAAGAAGCACCGGCUAACUCCGUGCCAGCAGCCGCGGUAAUAC
rnacentral:rRNA from 1 species